rfam:Populus trichocarpa isolate Nisqually-1 chromosome 1, whole genome shotgun sequence.
CAUCUCUGUGAUGAGUGAUUUGAAAUUGAAAAGUAGUGGACUGAUAUCUAUUGAUGAAGAAAAUAAUUAUGAGAGAUG